rnacentral:misc_RNA from 1 species
GAAGCAGCUUGUAAGUAUGAUAGGCAAAAAUAAUUUGAGGUUUGUCUCUUGAGAGAUAUGUAAUUCCUAUUUCCUCCCUUUGUUUUCAGCCAAUUUUGCUAAGAAACAGUUGGUUGACAAUUACUUAUAUUGGAUUAACUCAUAGUACGAAACAUUUAGAGCUGUUUGUCAUCGAAUUUUUCUUUUGCCUGUUGGUUAGGUGAGGCAACAACCUGC